rnacentral:rRNA from 1 species
ACGCACGCUGGCGGCGUGCUUAACACAUGCAAGUCGAACGGAAAGGCCCUGCUUGCAGGGUACUCGAGUGGCGAACGGGUGAGUAACACGUGGGUGAUCUGCCCUGCACUUCGGGAUAAGCCUGGGAAACUGGGUCUAAUACCGGAUAGGAGCCAUUUUUAGUGUGAUGGUUGGAAAGUUUUUUCGGUGUAGGAUGAGCUCGCGGCCUAUCAGCUUGUUGGUGGGGUAAUGGCCUACCAAGGCGGCGACGGGUAGCCGGCCUGAGAGGGUGGACGGCCACAUUGGGACUGAGAUACGGCCCAGACUCCUACGGGAGGCAGCAGUGGGGAAUAUUGCACAAUGGGCGCAAGCCUGAUGCAGCGACGCCGCGUGGGGGAUGACGGCCUUCGGGUUGUAAACUACUUUCGCUAGGGACGAAGCUUUUUGUGACGGUACCUAGAUAAGAAGCACCGGCUAACUACGU